ACCAGUCUUUACUAAAAUGAGUGGUUCUAGUAGUUCUAAGUACUAAACAACAUUAAAAAGGUAAUUAGCUUAACAAUCAUUGGACCUUUGCCUCCUCUUGUCAUCUUUCUCUCUCUUUCUCUAUGUUCCCUGUGUUGAGUAUAGUCCUCUUCCUUCUCCCACCUUACUCAGCCGAGAAUCCUGAUGAAUUCUGUCCACAUGCAUCCCAAACGGACCAGAAAUUAUGAAAUACCCAAAAAAUUUGUUCAUGGGGGUAAAAGCUGCUUAUUAGGAAUGUCUAGCCCACAAUUUUGUGCAGACUUAUGGGGUUUUGUUAAAUAUUGUGUAAGUAUAGGGUUUAGAGAGUGAAUUUUCCUUUAACUUAUUAAAUAAGCCAUUAAGCUUUCUUCUUCUUCUGCGAGGAAAAACAGAAAGCGCAGGGGAGAAGAGAGAAAAGAGAGAAAAGGAGAGAAGAAAAGAAAGGAGAAAGAAAAAGACAAAAAAAGGGGGAAAGAAAAAGAAAGAAGAAGAAGGAGAAGAGGAAAUUGAUAGGAAAAUAGGGAGAAGCAGGAAGAUUCAUAAAGAAUUUCAGUAUCAGCUUUGGGUCUGCACAAAUUUAUUUUAUGACAGGUAUGACAAAUUUUCAGUUGCUCUGCCUGCGUAAUAUUUCACGUCAGGUAUGACAAAUGUUAGUUGCUCUGCCUGUGCAGUAUUUUAUGCCAGGUAUGACAGAUUUUUAGUUGCUCUGCCUGCGCAGUAUUUUAUGCCAGGUAUAACAGAUUUUUUGUUGCUCUGCCUGUGUAGUAUUUUACCCUAAGCAUGAUAGAUUUCAAUUGUUCUACCCAAGCAAGAUUCAGCAUGUCAGAUAUGACAGUUCUUUCUCGCUCUGCCUGUGUUGGGGACACCUAUCGGGACAUCUCCAGGACUGUGUCGAGCAAUGACUUUGCCCAAGGUUGUGCCACAAUAUAGCAUCUUCAAUAGGUGUCCCAGGUUGCAUACAUAUAUUUGGAUUUUCUUUGAGAAACUUAUGAAACGUUGAAGGCCGAAGGCCUAGUUAAUCUAUUUUCAUGAUUUAGAGUGGAAAUCAAGAUGUAAAAUUAAUGUUAUGCAUAUGAUAAGGUGGGAGGCCAAAUUAAAAGCUUAUUUCAUGUUUUGAAUUUGAAA